AGCUAUUAUCGCGCUCGAUUGAUAUUCUGACUACAACUGCGUAUAUACUGCAACACUGUUUUUCCCGGCGACAUGACGUCGCCUCAAUGUUUUCUCUUCAAUUAAUAUAAUAUAAUUUACUUGAUUCAUUUCUGAGGACUUUUUAAGUUGAGGAUACGUUGUGAGAACAUGGGGCUGUGUUUAUCAUUUGAUUGUGGCGACUGUGACGUUUGCUGCAACCCGUGCUGUUUGGCUUUGAGUGCUUGUUGUUUGGUUCCCUGCCUCUGUCCCAACGCGUGCGGACAGCAACAGCAACACCCUCCGCAAACCGUGAUCGUCCAACAACCGCCCGUGUUCGUCGACAAUAACCCGCCAGGAUACCCUCAUCCCCCACCACCAGGAGGCUACCCCCCUCCAGGAGGAUAUCCCCCCCCAGGAGGCUACCCACCGCCAGGCGGCGGAUACCCCGGCUACCCCCAAUAUAGAUAAACGGAUUCUCUUUAAGGAUGGGUUGUAACAUAUCGUGCCGACCUUGUUGCUGCUGCUGCAUUCCGUGUCUGUGCUGCGACUGCUGCGGAGACCCACCACCUCGCACCACUGUGGUGCACCACCACACCGUAGUUCAAGUGCCAAAACCGUCUCACAGGAAUGAACCUCCUCCUCCCUACAGAUAGAAUCACCAGUCCCCAAUCUAUUCUCUACCGCUGUUCUGUCCGACCAUUUAGUUAAGUUAUCACGACAAUAGUCACUCGCGGGAUUUUAAUUAAUAUUCAAAAUAAUCUUUAUUUAAGCAUAUGUUCGGAAGAAGCGUUAUCACUGUGAAAAACUUCACAUCAAAAAACUCAUUUGCCAUUAGGUCCGAAUUUCAGAAGGCAUGAUGUGAUAUUAAGAUGAUAAUCUGUAUAUGUAUGGUGUCGUCUCAUUCAUACACAUCUAUGAAGACAGUGACAAAAAGACACGUAAUGAUGGAUUAACUUCUGGAAUCUUAAUUGCCAAGUAUUUGUACAAUUUUAGUAUAUCAAAGGUUUUGCAUAUGAAAUACGAAAUCAUAUACAAACUUCACAGGGUUUUUUAUACAUUAUAAAAUAUAAGGCGUCGUGGUGUGCGUUUUUGAUGACCUGCCGAUACUUCGGCUGUUUUGCAAACGCAAUUCCGUGUGACUUAAGUGUGACGAGCUGAAUAUGUGAUCACAAUUUUAAUUUUUGAUUGGCCCUUAAUCAGCGCGUCGCGUCGUAUACAACUUAGCAAACAAGUAUUGAGUAUAGGAAAUAGUAUUGUGUAAUUUAAUAUUGAUAUAGUAAGGACGGCCGGCGAUCCAAAAUGACGCACUUUUUCAAUAUUUAAUUUAAUAAAACUGCGGUCGAGACUGUAAUGGCAUAAGGAAUGUGUUCUCCAUUUAUAUUUGUUUGCAGAUAAUUUAUGAAAAAAAUAAAUCAAAUUAUUGCAAUUAUUAUUAAUAGAACGUAUUUUCUUACGCACACUAACACAAAUCGCGAGUGUAAGAAGUAGCUUGUCACGCACACUACACUAAUAUUCCUGGCCUCGGUUGUUCAACAGCAAGAGACUCUAUCCAGACGUAUGAAUUAUCUAAGCGUAUUUUUUUUUAUAUUUAAGAUAUGAUGAUAUCUUAAUAUUGUUAAAUUUUUAUUUAGUUGUAAGAUAUUUGAAUAGUUGCUUUUAGAACUUCUUCUUUUAAAUUUUUAUCAGAUAACCUUUCAAAAACAAACAAGAAUUUAUAUAAAGGUUUUGUUAAUUUUUUUUUAAUUAUUCAAACAGGGUUAUAUUAGUAUUGUCUUUAUAUUUUAAACUCGAAAAUCACACAUUUAAUUCAAAUACUUUUUAUUGGAUUAAAAUUCGAUUCAUUCGUUCUCGUAUUGGGCCCAACGUGAGUAAUUUGCACUACAAAAAAAAUAACACAUUAUCAAUGUAAGCGUCGGGAUACAAAAUAUAAUUUUAGCCAAUAAUUGAUUUAAUUUUCUUUCAUGAUUACAUUAUAUUCAUUUAAAAAGUAUUUUAUUUAACCAUUUUUUUUACAUAAAAUUUAUAACAACAUCCAAAAGACAGGUUGUAGUUGAUUGUAUAAUAAGUAGGAAUGUUAAUUAGGUUUAUAUGAUGAAAAAUCUAAUCUUAAGAGUUAAAAAUAAAAAAAUUAAGACAAAUAUUUGUAACGUUUAUUGUAAAUGUAAUUACCGAAUAAAUUAUUGUUAAGUAAAAAAAGUAUAAAAAAUUAAA